rnacentral:lncRNA from 1 species
UUAUUGGAGAGGAUCAAAGUGAAGCUGGUAAUGAUGAUGCCAGGGGCCUGCCUGGUCCUGCAGCUCCUCCUCCUCGACCUGGUGUCCCCUCAGUUCGUCCCCUACCUCCACCACCAGGGCUAGCAUUGAAUCUUCCUCGGAUGCCUCCAAAUACCAUUCAAUACUCGGCCCCAACUAGUGGUGCAUUUCCUGUGCCUCCACCAAGGCCACCAGGUAUGCCAAUGGUUCCAUCAAUUCGUCCAAUGCAGGCUCCAAUGCCAGUGGCACCUGGACAGCAGCCCAUUAUGAUGAAUCGACAGCUUACAAUGCCUCCAUCUAUAUCUGGAAAUCCACCAAGUAUGCCAGUUCCUCCUCCACCUGGAUCCCAGUUUACGCCAAUUCCUCGACCUUUUGCUCCUCUUCCUGUCCCUCCAACAGCAAUUGGUAUGAUGCCACCACCACCACCCUUGCCUCAAGGAAUGCCUCCACCACCUCCACCUGACGAUGCUCCUCCACCACUUCCAGACGAACCAGAGCCUAAGAGACAGAAGCUUGAUUCUAUGCUUAUUCCAGAAGAUCAAUUCCUG